GAGUUUGAUCUUGGCUCAGAUUGAACGCUGGCGGCAUGCCUUACACAUGCAAGUCGAACGGCAGCGCGGGAGCAAUCCUGGCGGCGAGUGGCGAACGGGUGAGUAAAACAUCGGAACGUGCCCAAUCGUGGGGGAUAACGCAGCGAAAGCUGUGCUAAUACCGCAUGAGAUCUACGGAUGAAAGCAGGGGACCUUCAGGCCUUGCGCGACUGGAGCGGCCGAUGGCAGAUUAGGUAGUUGGUGGGGUAAAGGCCUACCAAGCCUGCGAUCUGUAGCUGGUCUGAGAGGACGACCAGCCACACUGGGACUGAGACACGGCCCAGACUCCUACGGGAGGCAGCAGUGGGGAAUUUUGGACAAUGGGCGCAAGCCUGAUCCAGCCAUGCCGCGUGCAGGAUGAAGGCCUUC
rnacentral:rRNA from 1 species